rnacentral:tRNA from 1 species
GAUUGUAUAGUCUAAUAAGGAUUUUAAAUUGCAAAUUUAACGGUAAAUAAUAUUUUGCAAUCU